UACAGAGGUCCCAAGCGUUGUUCGGAUUCAUUGGGCGUAAAGGGUGCGUAGGCGGCGCGGUAAGUCGGGUGUGAAAUCUCGGAGCUUAACUCCGAAACUGCAUUCGAUACUGCCGUGCUUGAGGACUGGAGAGGAGACUGGAAUUUACGGUGUAGCGGUGAAAUGCGUAGAGAUCGUAAGGAAGACCAGUGGCGAAGGCGGGUCUCUGGACAGUUCCUGACGCUGAGGCACGAAGGUCAGGGGAGCAAACGGG
rnacentral:rRNA from 1 species